AGAGUACAAUGUUCACCACUUACAUCUUCCCUAGCCCAAUAGCAUAAGUGAGUUUGCUGUAUAUUCUAUAGUGCAACCAUUCUGAGCAUAGCAAUAGAACGCACAGCAUUUAAUAUAUACAUCGCAUUGUGCUAAUAUAAACAUGUAUGGCAAUGUGGAAUUCCCAGCCCUGGAAGGAAACCAGAACUUGUCCAUGAAGAAGCAAAGGAAAAUGUCAG